UCUUGUGGAUGUGCACAGAAAGUGGUUUUCUGAGAUGAAACUUACUCUUUGUGAAGAUGCUGUGAA
rnacentral:pre_miRNA from 3 species